ensembl:snRNA U2 U2 spliceosomal RNA
AUCGCUUCUCGGCCUUUUGGCUAAGAUCAAGUGUAGGAAUACGUUUGAGAAUAUCAAUAAUGUUUAAUGCAACAACGAAUUUUUACUGAUUGCUUUCUUAACAUCAGCUGUGAAGUUAUUUUUAUGACUUUGCAAAAUUUUGUGAAAAAUUACAGCAAGA